GAUGAACGCUGGCGGCGUGCAUAACACAUUCAAGUCGAACGAAGCAUUGUAGACGGAGACUUCGGUCAAAGUCUGCUUUGACUUAGUGGCGGACGGGUGAGUAACGCGUGAGCAACUUGCCCUUGCGUGGGGGAUAACGUUUGGAAACGAACGCUAAUACCGCAUAAUGUACCGAGACUGCAUGGUCAUGGUACCAAAGAUUUAUUGCGCAAGGAUGGGCUCGCGUCUGAUUAGGUAGUUGGUGGGGUAACGGCUCACCAAGCCGACGAUCAGUAGCCGGACUGAGAGGUUGAACGGCCACAUUGGAACUGAGAUACGGUCCAG
rnacentral:rRNA from 1 species